AGCCCGUUAGUCAAGGGGUUAAGACGUCGCGUUCUCAGCGCGAAGACACGGGUUCGAAUCCCGUACGGGUUA
rnacentral:tRNA from 1 species